GCGGAUUUAGCUCAGUUGGGAGAGCGCCAGACUGAAGUCUAAUCUGGAGGUCCUGUGUUCGAUCCACAGAAUUCGCA